rnacentral:rRNA from 1 species
CAGCCGUAAACUAUGCGCGUUAGGUGUAUCGGUGACCACGAGUUACCGAGGUGCCGAAGGGAAACCGUGAAACGUGCCGCCUGGGAAGUACGGUCGCAAGGCUGAACUUAAAGGAAUUGGCGGGGGGAGCACCACAACAGGUGGAGCCUGCGGUUUAAUUGGACUCAACGCCGGGAAGCUCACCGGAUAGGACAGCAGAAUGAUUGCCGGGCUGAAGACCCUGCAUGACUAGCUGAGAGGUGGUGCAUGGCUGU